rnacentral:rRNA from 1 species
AUUGAACGCUGGCGGCAUGCUUUACACAUGCAAGUCGAACGGCAGCGGGGUAGUGCUUGCACUACUGCCGGCGAGUGGCGCACGGGUGAGUAAUAUAUCGGAACGUACCGAGUAAUGGGGGAUAACCAAUCGAAAGAUUGGCUAAUACCGCAUACGUCCUGAGGGAGAAAGCGGGGGAUCGCAAGACCUCGCGUUAUUCGAGCGGCCGAUAACUGAUUAGCUAGUUGGUGGGGUAAAGGCCUACCAAGGCGACGAUCAGUAUCGGGUCUGAGAGGACGAUCCGCCACACUGGGACUGAGACACGGCCCAGACUCCUACGGGAGGCAGCAGUGGGGAAUUUUGGACAAUGGGGGCAACCCUGAUCCAGCCAUGCCGCGUGUAUGAAGAAGGCCUUCGGGUUGUAAAGUACUUUUGUUAGGGAAGAAAAGGGAAGUGCUAAUACCACUUUUUGCUGACGGUACCUAAAGAAUAAGCACCGGCUAACUACGUG